rnacentral:rRNA from 1 species
GACGAACCGUGCGAACGUUGUUCGGAAUCACUGGGCUUAAAGGGCGCGUAGGCGGCGCAACAAGUCACUUGUGAAAUCUCCGGGCUUAACCCGGAGCGGUCAAGUGAUACUGUCGUGCUAGAGUGCGGAAGGGGCUACUGGAAUUCUCGGUGUAGCGGUGAAAUGCGUAGAUAUCGAGAGGAACACCUGCGGCGAAGGCGGGUAGCUGGGCCGACACUGACGCUGAGGCGCGAAAGCUAGGGGAGCGAACGGG